rnacentral:tRNA from 1 species
GCCUUCUUGGUGUAAUGGUCAGCACACUCGGUGCGUAUUCGAGAGGUCCGUGGUUCGAGUCCCGUCGAGGGCA